GUAAAAUUGAUGUCUUUAACAAUAUCAAGUCACACAAUCCAUGAACCCUGUGUAUUUUUUCCAUUUAUUUAGACCUUUGGUUUCUCACAAAUUGAAAAUAUUUAAUAGCCAAAUACAGAGUUGUUUCUUUACAUUCUUGAGACACUUUUGGUUCUUUCCAUUUUAAUAUUUACCCCCACUUCUAACCUUGAAGUGUAUCAGAGUACUCUACCUCAAUUCAAAGAGAAAGACACAUAUGUUAGGGUGGGGAAAAACUGGAUACUUCAAAAGUAUAAAAUUAUAUUAUCAACUUCCACAGGUCAUUCUUCUCCAUAUGGAUGUAGGCAAGAGAAAAACCUUUUGUCCCCAACAUCUAGUGAGAAAUGAGAAAAAGAAGCACGACACAAGAACAAAGAUCUCCAUAACUCUUCCUAAUAAGACUGACUUUGGAACAGAGUUUGGGGAAAGCUAAGCCUCAAACCCCUGUUAAAAGCAGUACAGAUUUUGAUAGACAUCAAUUAAGGGGAGGCCAGUGGCUUCACAAAAAAAAAAAAAAAAAAAACCAGGGAAAACAGUCAUCUAAUUAGAAGUUUAACAGAGAGCAGUAGGGAAAAAGAUAGGUAAGAAAUCCCUCAGAGGAUUUGCUUCAUAAAACUUAUGCAGAAAUAUUCAUAGUAACAUUAUGUAUAAUGGCCAAAACAAUAGAAAUAACCCAAGUGUCCAACAACUGAUAUAUGGACAAAUAAAUAUGAUAUAUGCAUAUCAUGGAUUUUAUUUGACAAUGAAACAGUGAAGUAUCGAUACAAACUACAAAAGAUACUUGGAUGAACCUGAGAAAAUUUAUGCUAAGUGAAAGAAAUAAUAACAAAAGCCAUAUCUGCUGAAAUUCCACUUAUAUGAAUGUCCAAACUAAGCAAAUCUAUAGAGACAGAAAGUCAAGUUGGUUACUGUCUUCUUCAGGGAAGGUUGUGAGUAGUUGUAAUGGGCAGUGAUUGCUAAUAUAUUUACGGUUUCUUUCUUGUGUGAAGCAUAUUCUAUAAACUUGAUUGUGUUGAUAGUUGCACAAAUCUAUAAAUAUAUUGAAAACAUUAAAAUAUAUACUUUAAUUGGUGAGUUGUGUGUGAAUUAUGUCUUUCUAAGAAACUGCUAAAAAUCCACCAUUAAAAUAGAAAAUGAAGAUUUUAGAAGAAGGAACAAAGUGAUCAAAAAGUUUUGCUAAUAUACGUGUCUUUGGAAAAAAGUUCUCUCAUAAAUCAUGGUACCAAUAAAAUAAUCCUAAUAAAACUAGAGAGGAAAUAUGAUGCUCCAUUGAAGAACGAUUUAGGUAGCUCAUUUUGAUACUUGACUCUAGACCGGCCCUUAAAGUAGAAGGAAAGAUAGGCUUAUAACUUCA
rnacentral:lncRNA from 1 species